CCUACGGGUGGCUGCAGUGGGGAAUAUUGCACAAUGGGCGAUAGCCUGAUGCAGCAACGCCGCGUGAAGGAUGACGGUCUUCGGAUUGUAAACCUCUAUCAAUAGGGAAGAAAGGUGUAACAGUUAAUCAGUAAUGAAUCCACGCUAACUACGUGCCAGCAGCCGCGGUAAUACGUAGGGGGCGAGCGUUAUUCGGAAUUACUGGGUGUAAAGCGCGAGUAGGCGGCAUGUUAAGUCAAGUGUGAAAGCCUCGCGCUUAACCAAUGAACUGCAUAAGAAACUAGCAAGCUGGAGUGUAUGAGAGGAUAGUGGAAUUCCAGGUGUAGGAGUGAAAUCCGUAGAUAUCAGGAGGAACAUCAGUGGCGAAGGCGACUAUCUGGCACAUAACUGACGCUGAGGAGCGAAAGCGUGGGGAGCAAACAGGAUUAGAUACCCGUGUAGUC
rnacentral:rRNA from 1 species